rnacentral:lncRNA from 1 species
GCUCCUGAAGCCUUGCAUGAGCUGGGACCAGGGAUACAAGGAUGACCAAUGCAGGCUCGCUCCUCCCGCAGGGGGCCUGCAGGCUGGUGGCCUCACCAGUCCAGACCCCAUGGACUCAGUCAACUACGGCCCCCAGGGACUGUCUGGUGGGCAGCAUGGCCUGGCCUUUCUGAACCUGGAGCUGAUCCUAAGCUCCUUGGACACCCGCGCUCAGUCCUGCCACCUCACCUUUUCUUCUUGGCUGCUCCACCUGGAGGAAAUGCCUUCUCUCUCUCCUCAGGGAUGGCUGCUUCUGGAGGCUCCAGGCAGGAGGGCCAAGCUAGUGCUGUCAGAGAAAGAUGACUUCCAACAGCAGAAAUUCAUCCUUCCUCACCCCAUCCAUAGAGUUGCAGCCAAAGUUCCAUGUUAAAGUGUGACCUACCCCCUGCUUACAGUGGACUGGUCUGGGGAGGGAUGCUGCAUUCGGGGAAGAGGGCAGACUCUCUCUAGAUGGCUGGGCUGUAGCAUGGACCCUUGGGAGCUGGUAGAGGUGACCACGUCCCACCACGAGAACUGGGAAACUGAGAAAGCUGGACUACAGCAAGACAGAACAGCAAAGAGAGAAGCAUGAAUAAGUGACACAGAGCAAAGACUCCCGGCUUGGAACAGCACCCCAGGCCAGCUCUGGUCCUGCUGCCUGGCUUUAUUUCUGAGGCUGGAUUCAGCCACACAUCCUGAGAUUCUCCCAACCAAGUCCGUUUUCACUCAGAGUAGAUGGAGUGGAAUUUCCAGAGCCGACAUCCAGAAUAGGCCCAACUACCGUGCAAACCAAGGUUGCAUUUGGAGGAGAGGAAGGACGAUGAUGUUGAAUGCACAUCUCCCCAGAUGAUGAAGGAAUUGCCUCCAAGCUCAGCAGGUGGGACGACCUACUCUGUGUUGUACACCUUAUCAGCUGACGCUUCCCGUGGAUGAUAACUCCGUUCAGGCACAGCAGUAACAUUUACUACUUAACAGGCUGCUUGUAGAGAUUUCCCUCCGCAAUGAGAAUCUUUCCUAUUACAGGAGAAAAAUGAAAGGGGAGUCAUUUAUUCCAUAUGAA